GAUGCCCGCAGGCAGCACAAGCUUGUGGUUGUCAAGCCAGCUGUGCGACCCCUAGGAGGAAGCCGUGUUCCCACUGGCACAAACGCACCACCGAGACAACUACUCCCACCAGCUCCUACAGCUACUCAACCGAGGUUCCGCCAAACCCCCUCUGGGCAAUGCCACCAGUGCCAGAGGUGGGAACACUACAAGCGGGACUGUCCACAGCUUCGAGACCGAUCCACCUGGAUCCGACCAGGUCCACCCCCACCACCGAGAGCAGCAGCACACCACUACCAGGACGAGAC